UUGGAGGGCAAGUCUGGUGCCAGCAGCCGCGGUAAUUCCAGCUCCAAUAGCGUAUAUUAAAGUUGUUGCAGUUAAAAAGCUCGUAGUUGAAUUUCGGGAUUGACGUGAUGGUCGUACCUUAAGGGGUAUGAACUGUCGCUGUUGAUUUCUCACCUUCUGGAGAAACUUGAUGUCCUUAAUUGGGUGCCUUGCGGAUCCAGGACCUUUACCUUGAAAAAAUUAGAGUGUUUAAAGCAGGCAUUUUUGCUCGAAUACAUUAGCAUGGAAUAAUAG
rnacentral:rRNA from 1 species